rnacentral:rRNA from 1 species
GGCUACGAUGGGUAGGGGUCCUGAGAGGGAGAUCCCCCACACUGGUACUGAGACACGGACCAGACUCCUACGGGAGGCAGCAGUGAGGAAUAUUGGUCAAUGGGCGCAAGCCUGAACCAGCCAUGCCGCGUGCAGGAUGACGGUCCUAUGGAUUGUAAACUGCUUUUGUACGAGAAGAAACACUACUUCGUGAAGUAGCUUGACGGUAUCGUAAGAAUAAGGAUCGGCUAACUCCGUGCCAGCAGCCGCGGUAAUAAGGGCGAUCC